rnacentral:rRNA from 1 species
UGGGGAAUAUUGCACAAUGGGCGCAAGCCUGAUGCAGCCAUGCCGCGUGUGUGAAGAAGGCCUUCGGGUUGUAAAGCACUUUCAGCGAGGAGGAAGGGUUCAGUGUUAAUAGCACUGUUCAUUGACGUUACUCGCAGAAGAAGCACCGGCUAACUCCGUGCCAGCAGCCGCGGUAAUACGGAGGGUGCAAGCGUUAAUCGGAAUUACUGGGCGUAAAGCGCACGCAGGCGGUUUGUUAAGUCAGAUGUGAAAUCCCCGCGCUUAACGUGGAACUGCAUUUGAAACUGGCAAGCUAGAGUCUUGUAGAGGGGGGUGAGAAUUCCAGGUGUAGCGGUGAAAUGCGUAGAGAUCUGGAGGAAUACCGGUGGCGAAGGCGGCCCCCCUGGACAAAGACUGACGCUCAGGUGCGAAAGCGU